AACGAACGCUGGCGGCAGGCCUAACACAUGCAAGUCGAACGGGCACCUUCGGGUGUCAGUGGCAGACGGGUGAGUAACGCGUGGGAACCUACCUAGUGGUACGGAAUAACUCGGGGAAACCCGAGCUAAUACCGUAUACGCCCCGAGGGGGAAAGAUUUAUCGCCAUUGGAUGAGCCCGCGUCGGAUUAGCUAGUUGGUGAGGUAAUGGCUCACCAAGGCGACGAUCCGUAGCUGGUCUGAGAGGAUGAUCAGCCACACUGGGACUGAGACACGGCCCAGACUCCUACGGGAGGCAGCAGUGGGGAAUAUUGGACAAUGGGCGAAAGCCUGAUCCAGCCAUGCCGCGUGAGUGAAGAAGGCCUUAGGGUUGUAAAAGCUCUUUCGGCGGGGACGAUAAUGACGGUACCCGCAGAAGAAGCCCCGGCUAACUCCGUGCCAGCAGCCGCGGUAAUACGGAGGGGGCUAGCGUUGUUCGGAAUUACUGGGCGUAAAGCGCACGUAGGCGGACUGCUAAGUCGGGGGUGAAAUCCUGAGGCUCAACCUCAGAAUUGCCUUCGAUACUGGCGGUCUCGAGUGCGGGAGAGGUGAGUGGAAUUCCCAGUGUAGAGGUGAAAUUCGUAGAUAUUGGGGAAGAACACCAGUGGCGAAGGCGGCUCACUGGCCCGCAACUAACGCUGAGGUGCGAAAAGCGUGGGGAGC
rnacentral:rRNA from 1 species